rnacentral:rRNA from 1 species
AUUGAACGCUGGCGGUAGGCCUAACACAUGCAAGUCGAACGGCAGCACAGUAAGAGCUUGCUCUUACGGGUGGCGAGUGGCGGACGGGUGAGGAAUACAUCGGAAUCUACUUUUUCGUGGGGGAUAACGUAGGGAAACUUACGCUAAUACCGCAUACGACCUACGGGUGAAAGCAGGGGAUCUUCCGACCUUGCGCGAUUGAAUGAGCCGAUGUCGGAUUAGCUAGUUGGCGGGGUAAAGGCCCACCAAGGCGACGAUCCGUAGCUGGUCUGAGAGGAUGAUCAGCCACACUGGAACUGAGACACGGUCCAGACUCCUACGGGAGGCAGCAGUGGGGAAUAUUGGACAAUGGGCGCAAGCCUGAUCCAGCCAUACCGCGUGGGUGAAGAAGGCCUUCGGAUUGUAAAGCCCUUUUGUUGGGAAAGAAAAGCAGCAGGUUAAUACCCCGCUGUUCUGACGGUACCCAAAGAAUAAGCACCGGCUAACUUCGUG